rnacentral:rRNA from 1 species
UACGUAGGGUGCGAGCGUUGUCCGGAAUUAUUGGGCGUAAAGGGCUUGUAGGCGGUUUGUCGCGUCUGCCGUGAAAUCCUCUGGCUUAACUGGGGGCGUGCGGUGGGUACGGGCAGACUUGAGUGCGGUAGGGGAGACUGGAACUCCUGGUGUAGCGGUGGAAUGCGCAGAUAUCAGGAAGAACACCGGUGGCGAAGGCGGGUCUCUGGGCCGUUACUGACGCUGAGGAGCGAAAGCGUGGGGAGCGAACAGG